rnacentral:rRNA from 1 species
GCAGUCGCCGCGGGAAUACGUAGGGUGCGAGCGUUAAUCGGAAUUACUGGGCGUAAAGCGCGCGUAGGUGGUUUGUUAAGUUGGAUGUGAAAUCCCCGGGCUCAACCUGGGAACUGCAUCCAAAACUGGCAAGCUAGAGUAUGGUAGAGGGUGGUGGAAUUUCCUGUGUAGCGGUGAAAUGCGUAGAUAUAGGAAGGAACAUCAGUGGCGAAGGCGACCACCUGGACUGAUACUGACACUGAGGUGCGAAAGCGUGGGGAGCAAACAGGAUUAGAUACCCGUGUAGUCCCUGUCUCUUAUAC